rnacentral:tRNA from 1 species
UGGCUGAGUGGUAAAGCGUUUAGCUUCCGAACCAAGAAGUCUCGGGUUCGAAUCCUGA